rnacentral:misc_RNA from 1 species
GUCAAUGUUGCUACUUUGUUACUUUUCAAUGACAUUUUAAUUCAUUGAAACACAGCUUUAGCUACAAUAGUACACAUCAAUUAAUCUGACUCUUAGAUAUAGAUGCAAAAUAAUUCAGAAUAUAUGUUGUUACAGUUUGGGGAAAUACAAUACCAACACCAUUUGCUACUAACAUUACUCUAAAUUCGUCAUUGAAACCACCAACAGCAAGUUUGACCUUUAAUACUCCGCCAAAUCUUACUACACCUUUACCAACGAGUGAAUCAAACUCGAGUUUUCAACUUCAGAAACCUCCUAUUGCACCAACUUCUAUGAUGGGAAUCAACAAUUUGAAGGCAUGUUGAAUGUAAGAACCUGCAUUUGAAGCCUAUUUAAAAAAAAAAAUGAAAAUUUAUUUCUUCAUACAUGUAUACUAUAAUUUAAUACAUAAUAGUGUUCUCUCACCUCCAUGAGAAUCGUUGUUAUAUUAGUUUUAAUAGUAUGAGGUUUAUCUGAAGUUUCUGCAAGCUUAUUUAAAAUACUACAGUAAGUAUUAGCUAAUAUUCCAAUUUGAUUAGACAGAAUAUUUGUUAACUGAACUAGUGAAUCAGUUUCAUUAACAGUGCUUCGAUGUUCUUUGAUUAAAAGUAAUUCUGCAGUUUUAUGAAACCUUUCUACAGAUAAUGCUGUAAAUUGUGCAAAACUGAAAUAGCAUGUUCAAAAGUUUCUUGAUCAUUAUGUGGUGAAUUAGUAUAAUUUUUAGAAUCUUGAAAAGCCUAAAAUCAAUAUUUAAUUUUGU